rnacentral:rRNA from 1 species
AAUCUCUGUAGAGUCUGCAUAUCAAUAAGCGGAGGAAAAGAAACUAACUAGGAUUCCCUCAGUAACGGCGAGUGAAGCGGGAAGAGCUCAAAUUUGAAAUCUUCAAGGUUCUACCUUGACGAAUUGUAGUUUAAAGAAGUGUUUUCUGUUGGAGUUUUGGUAAAAGUUCUUUGGAAUAGGACAUCAUAGAGGGUGAGAAUCCCGUAUUUGACCAUUAUCUCCAGCUGUGUGAUACACUUUCAAAGAGUCGGAUUGUUUGGGAAUGCAGUCCAAAAUGGGUGGUAAAUUUCAUCUAAAGCUAAAUAUUGGCGAGAGACCGAUAGCGAACAAGUACCGUGAGGGAAAGAUGAAAAGAACUUUGAAAAGAGAGUUAAACAGUACGUGAAAUUGUCAAAAGGGAAGCGUUUGACACCAGUGUUGUUUUUCCGAAAAUCAAUUACGAAUGUUUUGUUUUUAAGAAGUUAUGACUUCAUCGGCUUGCUUCUUUCUUUACGAAACUUUCUUAAUGCACUUUUCGGUUAACAAGUCAACAUCAAUUUCUUUUGUUGUAAAAGGGUAUGAGGAAGGUGGCUUUCUUUUCGGAGAAAGUGUUUAUAGCCUUGUGCCUCUGCAAUCGGAGAGAUUGAGGUCUGCAGCGUAGAUCCUUCGGGGUUAGAUACGUUUGUGCUAAGUUAUAGCUUUUCAUAGACAACUUGUUGACUAUGUUUAGUCUUGUAGCUUACUCGCUGACGCUAUUUUACCUACGCUUAGGAUGUUGAGUAGCGACAUACGCAC